rnacentral:rRNA from 1 species
AACGAACGCUGGCGGCAGGCUUAACACAUGCAAGUCGAGCGCGCAGGUUACUGCGAGCGGCAGACGGGUGAGUAACGCGUGGGAAUCUACCCAGAACUACGGAAUAACAUGAAGAAAUUUGUGCUAAUACCGUAUACGCCCUUCGGGGGAAAGAUUUAUUGGUUUUGGAUGAGCCCGCGUUGGAUUAGCUAGUUGGUAGGGUAAUGGCCUACCAAGGCGACGAUCCAUAGCUGGUGUGAGAGGAUGAUCAGCCACACUGGGACUGAGACACGGCCCAGACUCCUACGGGAGGCAGCAGUGGGGAAUAUUGGACAAUGGGCGCAAGCCUGAUCCAGCCAUGCCGCGUGAGUGAUGAAGGCCUUAGGGUUGUAAAGCUCUUUCACCGGUGAAGAUAAUGACGGUAACCGGAGAAGAAGCCCCGGCUAACUUCGUGCCAGCCGCCGCGGUAA